rnacentral:tRNA from 1 species
GCUCGUUGGUCUAGGGGUAUGAUUCUCGCUUAGGGUGCGAGAGGUCCCGGGUUCAAAAUCCCGGGACGAGCC